UGCUAGUCGAGCGGAAACGACAUUAUUGAAUCUUCGGAGGAUUUAAUGGGCGUCUAGCGGCGGACGGGUGAGUAAUGCCUAGGAAAUUGCCUUGAUGUGGGGGAUAACCAUUGGAAACGAUGGCUAAUACCGCAUAAUGCCUACGGGCCAAAGAGGGGGAUCUUCGGACCUCUCGCGUCAAGAUAUGCCUAGGUGGGAUUAGCUAGUUGGUGAGGUAAUGGCUCACCAAGGCGACUGAUCCCUAGCUGGUCUGAGAGGAUGAUCAGCCACACUGGAACUGAGACACGGUCCAGACUCCUACGGGAGGCAGCUAGUGGGGAAUAUUGCACAAUGGGCGAAAGCCUGAUGCAGCCAUGCCGCGUGUAUGAAGAAGGCCUUCGGGUUGUAAAGUACUUUCAGUUGUGAGGAAGGGGGUAGUGUUAAUAGCGCUAUCUCUUGACGUUAGCAACAGAAGAAGCACCGGCUAACUCCGUGCCAGCAGCCGCGGUAAUACGGAGGGUGCGAGCGUUAAUCGGAAUUACUGGGCGUAAAGCGCAUGCAGGUGGUUCAUUAAGUCAGAUGUGAAAGCCCGGGGCUCAACCUCGGAACUGCAUUUGAAACUGGUGAACUAGAGUGCUGUAGAGGGGGGUAGAAUUUCAGGUGUAGCGGUGAAAUGCGUAGAGAUCUGAAGGAAUACCAGUGGCGAAGGCGGGCCCCCUGGACAGUCACUUACCCUCAUAUUCCU
rnacentral:rRNA from 1 species